GCCUAACACAUGCAAGUCGAACGAGAACCCAUUCUUCGGAUUGGGGGACAGUGGCGAACGGGUGAGUAACACGUUGGUGACCUGCCCCGAAGACGGGAACAACCCUUCGAAAGGGGGGUUAAUGCCCGAUGUGCUUGCGUCUCUUAGAAGGACACAAGUAAAGCUCCGGCGCUUCGGGAGGGGCCAGCGGCCUAUCAGCUAGUUGGUGAGGUAACGGCUCACCAAGGCUAAGACGGGUAGGGGGCGUGAGAGCGCGAUCCCCCACAAUGGAACUGAGACACGGUCCAUACUCCUCCGGGAGGCAGCAGUGAGGAAUCUUGCACAAUGGGGGCAACCCUGAUGCAGCAACGCCGCGUGGGUGACGAAGGCUUUCGAGUCGUAAAACCCUUUUCUGGGGGAAGAGAAAGGACGGUACCUCAGGAAUAAGUCCCGGCUAACUACGUGCCAGCAGCCGCGGUAAAACGUAGGGGGCGAGCGUUAUCCGGAAUUAUUGGGCGUAAAGCGCGUGUAGGCGGCUUGGUAGGUUGGACGUGAAAGCUCCUGGCUCAACUGGGAGAGGUCGUUCAAAACCGCCAGGCUUGAGGACGGAAGAGGAAAGUGGAAUUCCCGGU
rnacentral:rRNA from 1 species